rnacentral:rRNA from 1 species
UGCCUUAUAGUGGGGGAUAGCCUUUCGAAAGGAAGAUUAAUACCGCAUAAGAUUGUAGUAUCGCAUGAUAUAGCAAUUAAAAGGAGCAAUCCGCUAUAAGAUGGACCCGCGUCGCAUCAGCUAGUUGGUGAGGUAAUGGCUCACCAAGGCGACGAUGCGUAGCCGACCUGAGAGGGUGAUCGGCCACAUUGGGACUGAGACACGGCCCAGACUCCUACGGGAGGCAGCAUG